CCUACGGGUGGCAGCAGCAAGGAAUUUUCCGCAAUGGGCGAAAGCCUGACGGAGCAACGCCGCGUGCGGGAUGACGCUUUUCGGAGUGUAAACCGCUGUUCAUGGGGACGAAGCACUGACGGUACCCAUGGAGGAAGGCCCGGCUAACUACGUGCCAGCAGCCGCGGUAAUACGUAGGGGUCGAGCGUUGUCCGGAGUUACUGGGCGUAAAGCGCGCGCAGGUGGCUCAUUGCGCCCGGCGUGAAAGCCCCCGGCCUAACCGGGGAGGGUCGUCGGGGACGGGUGAGCUUGAGGGUAUCAGGGGCUGGUAGAAUUCCCGGUGUAGUGGUGAAAUGCGUAGAGAUCGGGAGGAAUACCCGUGGCGAAGGCGGCCAGCUGGGAUACACCUGACACUGAGGCGCGAAGGCGUGGGGAGCGAACGGGAUUAGAUA
rnacentral:rRNA from 1 species